CCUACGGGUGGCAGCAGUAGGGAAUUUUCGUCAAUGGGCGCAAGCCUGAACGAGCAAUGCCGCGUGAACGAGGAAGGUCUUCGGAUCGUAAAGUUCUGUUGAAGGGGAAAAAGAGCGGAGAGAGGAAAUGGUCUCCGAUUGAUAUUACCCUUCGAGGAAGUCACGGCUAACUACGUGCCAGCAGCCGCGGUAAUCCGUAGGUGGCGAGCGUUAUCCGGAAUGGUUGGGCGUAAAGGGGGCGUAGGCGGCCUGCAAAGUCUGGAGUGAAGGGGACCGGCUAAACCGGUAUAGGCUAUGGAAACUGGCGGGCUAGAGUGCAGGAGAGGGCGGUGGAACUCCAUGUGUAGCGGUAAAAUGCGUAGAUAUAUGGAAGAACACCAGUGGCGAAGGCGGCCGCCUGGCCUGUUACUGACGCUGAGGCACGAAAGCGUGGGGAGCAAAUAGGAUUAGAUACCCUAGUAGUC
rnacentral:rRNA from 1 species